rnacentral:lncRNA from 1 species
GGAUUCUGCUGACUAAAUGCGCUUUGAAUUCCCCUAUGUCUGCCUCUACUGAUCUCGCCCAGCCCUGGCCAACCCACUCCUCUUCCUGGGCACUUUCAGAGUAGUAAAGGCAUCCUAAGUGACUAAGACACACCAGCCUCUCUUUCUUACUUUCAGAUCUUGGCUGAUGACGCUUUUCUCGUGGCUUAAAGGUUCUCUCCCACUGAGCUACAUCCCCUCUGUACCCCCAACUCCUGAUUGAGUUUUGGAAGCCAUCGCCGGAUUUCUCUGUCCAGACCUCUGGCUCUAGCCUCGCUAACAGUGUCCGAGCUGGAAGCCGGCGAUCUGGAAAUCUAGGUUCAGCACUCCCAGCACAGCCCCCACACUGGACACAAGUUUCCCGGUGCUCGCCGCAGUCCCGGCCACCGCGUCGGCCCGCUCGCCGCGUUCCAAGCGCUCUCAGACCCCUCCCUCACCGCUCUCCUCCUAAGGAAACUUGACCCUCGCCAGCCGCCGUCGCCAAGCCCCGACUUACUCGCUCUUGUCCAGCUGCUCGCCAGGCUCAAACUCCGCACGCCGUUACCCGGGCUCAGGGGGCGGGGCUUCGGCACGACCCAGGGCGCCUGCGCAGACCGCCCUGCAAUCCUUAAAGAGGAGGGUGGGGAAGGAGCCCCGCGU